AUGAAAAUCUUAAGCUGGAAUUGCCGAGGUUUGGGGACGCCCUCGGCAAUUCGGUUGCUGUCGGAAUUACUACGGCAGCAUAGUCCUGAUGUUCUUUUCCUCUCGGAGACUCACUUGAAUGAUUCGAGCGAGGAAAGAUUGCAUGUGAAGCUUGGUUUCGAUAGUAAGUUUGUUUCACCAAGCGAUGGAAGGAGUGGAGGUUUGAUCAUGAUGUGCAAGAACAAUGUUAAUAUGCAGCUGAAUUAUUAUCACGACAACUUUAUUGAUGUUGUGGUCAAAGGAGCGGAUCCUAGUAUAGACUGGAGGUUAACGGGUAUGUAUGGUGAGCCGGUUUGGAGACAUAAGCAUCGUACAUGGAAACGUUUCCGUGAUCUACAUGCCAAGGGUAAUCUGCCUUGGGUUGUGAUAGGGGAUUUAAAUGAGAAUUUGUAUUUAUCAGAGAAAGAGGGAGGUAAUGCGAGACCCUUAUCAUAUAUGUCCGCGUUUAGGGAUUGUUUGACUGGUUGUUCGCUAGAAGACCUUGGUUAUAUUGGCAACAAAUUCACUUGGAAGAGGGGGAGAAUCAGAGAGAGACUGGAUAGAGCUGUGGGGAACAUGGCAUGGGCUGGUAUGUUUCCUGAUGCAGCUGUGCACCACUUUACUAUGGGUGGUUCGUGUAGAAGGGCAAGUUAUGGGCUGUGCAAUCUCGAUGUAUUGAUUUGA
rnacentral:rRNA from 1 species